GACGAACGCUGGCGGCGUGCUUAACACAUGCAAGUCGAACGGAAAGGCCCUGCUUUUGUGGGGUGCUCGAGUGGCGAACGGGUGAGUAACACGUGAGUAACCUGCCCUUGACUUUGGGAUAACUUCAGGAAACUGGGGCUAAUACCGGAUAGGAGCUCCUGCUGCAUGGUGGGGGUUGGAAAGUUUCGGCGGUUGGGGAUGGACUCGCGGCUUAUCAGCUUGUUGGUGGGGUAGUGGCUUACCAAGGCUUUGACGGGUAGCCGGCCUGAGAGGGUGACCGGCCACAUUGGGACUGAGAUACGGCCCAGACUCCUACGGGAGGCAGCAGUGGGGAAUAUUGCACAAUGGGCGGAAGCCUGAUGCAGCAACGCCGCGUGCGGGAUGACGGCCUUCGGGUUGUAAACCGCUUUCGCCUGUGACGAAGCGUGAGUGACGGUAAUGGGUAAAGAAGCACCGGCUAACUACGAG
rnacentral:rRNA from 1 species